GACGAACGCUGGCGGCGUGGAUUAGGCAUGCAAGUCGAACGGUAUCAUCCUUUCGGGGGUGAGAGAGUGGCGAACUGGUGAGUAACACGUAGGUUAUCUACCCUCAAGACGGGGACAACCCAGGGAAACUUGGGCUAAUACCGGAUGUGAGCAACUUUUAGUUGUUUGAAAGGUGGCGUAAGCUGUCGCUUGGGGAUGAGCCUGCGUCCUAUUAGUUAGUUGGUGAGGUAACGGCUCACCUAGGCAAUGAUAGGUAGGCGGCCUUAACGGGUGGUCGCCCACACUGGGAUUGAGAUACGGCCCAGACUCCUACGGGAGGCAGCAGUCGAGAAUAGUCUACAAUGGUCGGAAGACUGAUAGUGCGACGCCGCGUGAACGAUGAAUCCCUUCGGGUGUAAAGUUCUUUUAUAUGUGAGCAGUGCUUCUUAUAUUAACAGUAUGGGGAGAGAGAUAUUAGUCAUAUGAAUAAGCAACGGCGUAACUACCGUGCCAGCGAGCCGCGGUAAU
rnacentral:rRNA from 1 species